GUAAAAUACGUCGUGUAAAAGAGUCUAACAGAGCUUCACAGCCCUGUUUGAUAGUGACUUAAUACCUCGUGAAGAGUUUUUAAAAUUAUUAAAAUAAAUUUGGCCUAAAAUAUCUUAAGAAAAUUAAAUUAAGCUUUAUGUUUAAUUAAAAAAAACAUGGCUAGCGUACGAAAGAUAAUUGUAAAUAUAUACGAAGAUCCCUUUAAAUGGUGUUUAGUAAAGAGUAUUGGUCUAUUUGCACUAGGGAUUAAAAUUGCCCUCGAGUGCAAAGGAAUGGAACUUAUGCCGCCUAUGACUGCAUAAAUAUGCUAAUAAUCUGUUGUAAAUAUUCUCAUCCUAUAUACAAAAAUCGUCUGAUAAAUUCACAAGUAAUUCCUGUAAUUAUGAUACAAUCCAUAUAGUUAAGAAAAUAGAUUAUGCUUAAAUGCCUUUAACAAUAAAGUAAAUAAAUGUCAUAAGCAUUUGAUUUUUACAAA